rnacentral:rRNA from 1 species
UACGUAGGGGGCUAGCGUUGUCCGGAUUUAUUGGGCGUAAAGAGCGUGUAGGCGGCCAGGUAGGUCUGCUGUGAAAACUCGAGGCUCAACCUCGAGACGUCGGCGGAAACCAUCUGGCUAGAGUCCGGAAGAGGAGAGUGGAAUUCCUGGUGUAGCGGUGGAAAUGCGCAGAUAUCAGGAGGAACACCGGUGGCGAAGGCGGGUCUCUGGGGCCGAUACGUGACGCUGGAGGAGCGAAAGCGUUGGGGGAGCGAACAGG